GGAAGAAGAAAUGUUUGGGCAGGUGAAAUUAAAAACCCCAGGAUGUUAGGAGUUUCAAGGCAGAUGAGCAUCGAUGAAGUGAAUAUGCCCACAUAUGUCUCCUUCAGGAUGACAUACAAACAACAUUGACAAGACAUGAGAAUUACUUAUAUACCUACUUCCCCCGGACUGUGAAGUCUGGGACCAGGAUUGAUGUAUCUUUUUGUCUCUCAUAACAUCUAACAAAGUGUUUUUCAUAUGGUAAUGCUUAAAAUGUGUUUGUUUAUUGAAUAAAACAUGUCAGUACGAUUUUGAACA
ensembl:lncRNA